GCAGGUUUUCCUCGUGAAAGUCGGAUCGGAUUGAGUUCGGAGAUAUUUGCCGUCCGCGAAGAGGAACCCAAAGAUCCAAGCGAAAGGGAGACGAAUGGGCUCUUCGGCGAUGGCGUUGAUGGCGGAGAAGACCUCGUCAGCUGGGAAUCUCGGUCCCUUCUCGUUUGCAGAAGCCAAUCGAAGCAGCGGAGAACUUGCUCCCUUUGGCUGUCGAUCCCGAGGAUGGGGAUUACAUCCUCAGCCAAGAUUUCUCUGCACGCCCAAUUAUAUAUAACGCGGGAUAGGCAGUAGAUUUUGAGCGAUUUCGUGUUCAAUAAGGAGCACUUGGCUUGCCCCAUCGGCUGAGAAAUCGAUCAGGACUAAAGGGCACAGGAAAGGCAAUCUUAAUCAUCUGUUGGAUUUUUUUUAUAAAUGCAUUUUUGGUGAUUUCCUACUUUUCAUUUGGUGUUCAUGGGAUAGCUUAUAUAUGAUUGGGUGAACUUUGGGGGCUUGCCUUGGUUGUAAAAGGACCAGUUGUUGUUCACGUAUAGCAUGCUGUUCUUAUAAUUUUAAUUGGGUCCUUUCCUUUGUUAUUAUAUUUACGUGGAACUCCAAAUUCAAUCUUGUAGCUCUCCUUUCAUUCCACCUUCACCCCAUCUUGAUCUAGGAAUGGAUCACAUUGUACCUAGUAAUUGAAAAUAAUGCUGAAAAAAGUGAAAAAUGACUUUAGUUUUGGAGUGUUUUGGGUCAGCAUUU